AUCCUUUUGUGGUUCAUAAGCGUGAUCACUGGCUAUUCACACAUCCAUGUGACACAUGCUUCCCGCAAGCCUUGUGAUGAUCUCAGCGCAAUGACAUGAAA